rnacentral:rRNA from 1 species
AAUAGGCUAAUUAAGAGCGUAAGGGGAAUACCUUGGCUCUCAGAGGCGAUGAAGGACGUGAUAAGCUGCGAUAAGUUACGGGGAAUGGCACAAACAUUUUGAUCCGUAAAUUUCCGAAUGGGGCAACCCGGCAUAUUGAAGAUAUGUCACACUGUAAAGUGAGCAAACCUGGUGAACUGAAACAUCUAAGUAACCAGAGGAAUAGAAAACAAAAGUGAUUCCGCUAGUAGUGGCGAGCGAACGCGGAAUAGCCCAAACCCUAAAUUGUUACGGCAAUUUAGGGGUUGUAGGACCUUCAACAUUUAAUGCUAAUAGAACUAGAAUUUACUGGAAAAGUAAAACCCAAAGAAGG